AGAUACGGUCCAGACUCCUACGGGAGGCAGCAGUGGGGAAUAUUGCACAAUGGGCGCAAGCCUGAUCCAGCCAUGCCGCGUGGGUGAAGAAGGCCUUCGGGUUGUAAACCCCUUUCUGUAUCGGCGAAGCUCCAGGCUUCUUCUUGGGAUGACGGUAGGUACAGAAGAAGCACCGGCCAACUUCGUGCCAGCAGCCGCGGUAAUACGAAGGGUGCGAGCGUUGCUCGGAAUUACUGGGCGUAAAGAGAGCGUAGGUGGUUUGUCACGUCGUCCGUGAAAGCCCACGGCUUAACUGGGAGCGUGCAGGCGAUACUGGCAGACUGGAAUGUUGUAGGGGAGACUGGAAUUCCUGGUGUAGCGGUGGAAUGCGCAGAGAUCAGGAGGAACAUCCAUGGCGAAGGCAGCUCUCUGGGCAGUAACUGACGCUGAGGAGCGAAAGCGUGGGGAGCGAACAGGAUUAGAUACCCUGGUAGUCCACGCCGUAAACGGUGGGUACUAGGUGUGGGU
rnacentral:rRNA from 1 species